UACAGAGGUCCCAAGCGUUGUUCGGAUUCAUUGGGCGUAAAGGGUGCGUAGGUGGCCUGGUAAGUCGGGUGUGAAAUCCCGGGGCUCAACCCCGGAACUGCACUCGAUACUGCCGUGCUCGAGUACUGGAGAGGAGACUGGAAUUUACGGUGUAGCGGUGAAAUGCGUAGAUAUCUGGAGGAACACCGGUGGCGAAGGCGGCAUUCUGGACCGAUAUUGACGCUGAGGAGCGAAAGCCAGGGGAGCAAACGGG
rnacentral:rRNA from 1 species